GGGAUGACACAGUAGGAUAAGCUAAGCACACUGUUGGUUAUGUGUGCCCAAGCAUUGAGGCAGUCAAAGUAGGCAAAUCCGCUUUGAUAAUGCUGGGAUGUGAUGGGGAGCGAAAUUUAGUAGCGAAGUAGCUGAUUUCACACUGUCAAGAAAAGUCUCUAUCGAGGUUAAAGGUACCCGUACCGCAAACCGACACAGGUGGGUGAGGAGAGUAUCCUAAGGCCAGCGAGAGAACUGUUGUUAAGGAACUCGGCAAAAUGACCCCGUAACUUAGGGAUAAGGGGUGCCACCAUCAGGUGGCCGCAGAGAAUAGGCCCAAGCGACUGUUUACCAAAAACAUAGGUUUCUGCUAAGUCGCAAGACGAUGUAUAGGAGCUGACGCCUGCCCGGUGCUGGAAGGUUAAGGGGAUCUGUUAGAGCAAUCGAAGCAGUGAACUUAAGCCCCAGUAAACGGCGGCCGUAACUAUAACGGUCCUAAGGUAGCGAAAUUCCUUGUCGGGUAAGUUCCGACCCGCACGAAAGGCGUAACGAUUUGGGCACUGUCUCAACAACAGACUCGGUGAAAUUGUAAUUCCGGUGAAGAUGCCGGAUACCUGCGACAGGACGGAAAGACCCCAUGGAGCUUUACUGUAGCUUGACAUUGGGUCUUGGUACUACAUGUACAGGAUAGGUGGGAGGCUUUGAAACCAGGACGCCAGUUUUGGCGGAGCCAUCCUUGGGAUACCACCCUUGUA
rnacentral:rRNA from 1 species